rnacentral:rRNA from 1 species
GACAGAGGGUGCAAACGUUGUUCGGAAUUACUGGGCGUAAAGCGUGUGUAGGCGGCUAUGUAAGUCGGAUGUGAAAGCCCUGGGCUCAACCCAGGAAGUGCACUCGAUACUGCGUAGCUUGAGUACCGGAGAGGUUGGUGGAAUUCUCGGUGUAGAGGCGAAAUUCGUAGAUAUCGAGAGGAACACCGGUGGCGAAGGCGGCCAACUGGACGAGUACUGACGCUGAGACACGAAAGCGUGGGGAGCAAACAGG